rnacentral:rRNA from 1 species
UUGAAAGGGAAACGAUUGAAGUCAGUCGUACCUGCGGGUAAUCAGCCUUUUGGGUGUGAUUAUGUGGAGCGUGAGGAGCUUAAUCGCCUUCAUCUUUGCAUAUUCGUGCACUUGGGGUGUACUUGCUCGUGUGGUAGGUUAACAUCAAUUUUGAUCGUCAUAAAAUGACUAGAGGAAUGUAGCUUCGAUCUCGUAUUGAAGUGUUAUAGCCUUUGGUAGAUGUGAUGAUUAGGAUUGAGGAUUGCAACGGAUACCCUUCGGGGCUACCUGCUUGAUCUCUGAAAGUUGCUCUGGUGCUGAAAGCUUGCUUAUGGUAUCAAAGUUGACGUUCAAUAGGUUAGAACGGGAUAAAUUCGUUAAGGAUGU